GGAUAGCUCAGUUGGAGGAGCAUGAGAUUCUUAUUGCCAGGGUCAUGGGUUCAAGCCUCAUGUUGGACA